UACGGAGGGGGCUAGCGUUGUUCGGAAUUACUGGGCGUAAAGCGCGCGUAGGCGGCUUAGCAAGUUAGAGGUGAAAGCCCGAAGCUCAACUUCGGAAUUGCCUUUAAAACUGCGAGGCUAGAAUUGUGGAGAGGUAAGUGGAAUUCCGAGUGUAGAGGUGAAAUUCGUAGAUAUUCGGAAGAACACCAGUGGCGAAGGCGACUUACUGGACACAUAUUGACGCUGAGGUGCGAAAGCGUGGGGAGCAAACAGG
rnacentral:rRNA from 1 species